GAGUUUGAUCAUGGCUCAUAGCGAACGCUGGCGGCAGGCUUAACACAUGCAAGUCCAGCGGGCAUAGCAAUAUGUCAUCGGCAGACGGGUGAGUAACGCGUGGGAACGUACCUUUUGGUUCGGAACAACUGAGGGAAACUUCAGCUAAUACCGGAUAAGCCCUUACGGGGAAAGAUUUAUCGCCGAAAGAUCGGCCCGCGUCUGAUUAGCUAGUUGGUGAGGUAAUGGCUCACCAAGGCGACGAUCAGUAGCUGGUCUGAGAGGAUGAUCAGCCACAUUGGGACUGAGACACGGCCCAAACUCCUACGGGAGGCAGCAGUGGGGAAUAUUGGACAAUGGGCGCAAGCCUGAUCCAGCCAUGCCGCGUGAGUGAUGAAGGCCCUAGGGUUGUAAAGCUCUUUUGUGCGGGAAGAUAAUGACGGUACCGCAAGAAUAAGCCCCGGCUAACUUCGUGCCAGCAGCCGCGGUAAUACGAAGGGGGCUAGCGUUGCUCGGAAUCACUGGGCGUAAAGGGUGCGUAGGCGGGUCUUUAGGUCAGGGGUGAAAUCCUGGAGCUCAACUCCAGAACUGCCUUUGAUACUGAAGAUCUUGAGUUCGGGAGAGGUGAGUGGAACUGNNAGUGUANAGGUGAAAUUCGUANAUAUUCGCAAGAACACCAGUGGCGAANGCGGCUCACUGGCCCGAUACUGACGCUGANGCACGAAAGCGUGNGGAGCAAACAGGAUUAGAUACNNUGGUAGUCCACGCCGUANACGAUGAAUGCCAGCNGUUAGUGGGUUUACUCACUAGUGGCGCAGCUAACGCNUUAAGCAUUCCGCCUGGGGAGUACGGUCGCAAGAUUAAAACUCAAAGGAAUUGACGGGGGCCCGCACAAGCGGUGGAGCAUGUGGUUUAAUUAGACGCAACGCGCAGAACUUUACCAGCCCUUGACAUCCCGGUCGCGGACUCCAGAGACGGAGUUGUUCAGUUCGGCUGGACCGGAGACAGGUGCUGCAUGGCUGUCGUCAGCUCGUGUCGUGAGAUGUUGGGUUAAGUCCCGCAACGAGCGCAACCCCCGUCCUUAGUUGCUACCAUUUAGUUGAGCACUCUAAGGAGACUGCCGGUGAUAAGCCGCGAGGAAGGUGGGGAUGACGUCAAGUCCUCAUGGCCCUUACGGGUCUGGGCUACACACGUGCUACAAUGGCGGUGACAAUGGGAUGCUAAGGGGCGACCCUUCGCAAAUCUCAAAAAGCCGUCUCAGUUCGGAUUGGGUCUCUGCAAUUCGAGCCCAUGAAGUUGGAAUCGCUAGUAAUCGUGGAUCAGCACGCCACGGUGAAUACGUUCCCGGGCGUUGUACACACCGCCCGUCAUCACCAUGGGAGUUGGUUUUACCUGAAGACGGUGCGCUAACCGAAAGGGGGCAGCCGGCCACGGUAGGGUCAGCG
rnacentral:rRNA from 1 species